AUUCUCAUCCAUUCCACUACAGAGCUGUCAAAAUGGUGCAAAGAGCAAACAGGGAUAAAUAAGCCAGAGAAUCCCGCUGAUGAACACUACAUAAAGGUAACAGAUGCUACUAUGCCAGAAGAAAUGAAAUGAUAAGCAAGCAGCAUCUUCAUUGUCAAAACUACUCAAAAUUCAGAGUCAUAAUGCACAGAAUUAACCAGAGAUAACCAACUAUUCAAAUCCACUAGCCAUACUACCAGUUUCCAGAAUACCAUAAUGUACUAGCAAUACAGCUUUAAGCAGCAUUAUGUAGAAGAGGCAGCCAGAGAACCAAGCUUUGUCUCAUUCUAUAAUUUUAAGCCAUGAACUUCCCUAAUCUUACUUAUCCAUCUUUCCAUCUUUCAAAUCUGUGGCUCAUAUGUUGGCCAACUAAAACUGUUUAAAAUCUAAACAUUUUCUUCACCUCUUAUCAUUUUUUUCAAUCUACAAUCAAUUUCAUAGUCCAAUUGUCAUAUUCAACCCAAUCUUCUUUCCAUUUAGAGGCAACAAUCAAGCCCUCAAGUCCUUCCCAUCCCAGCAAAUGCCACUUCCUUGAUCCAGAUUCUUCAUACAGUAAGACAAGAACAAAAAUUUAAGCCAGUGAUUCUAUUGACUAUCUUGAUUCCAAUAACCUUCACAAGACAUAAAAUAGACAGCCCAUGCUUUUCUGGUAGAAUCUGGCCAGCUAAACAAAAAAAAUGU
rnacentral:misc_RNA from 1 species